rnacentral:lncRNA from 1 species
AAGCACGUGUCCACUUGAGACCGACAAUCCACAGAGCUCUCUCAAAGUUUGGUAACACGCUUUUUGAAAUGUGGCUAGAGAAGAUACCAACAGACUUCAGAAGACUGGAUUAGACAUGGAUUCAAUUUGUGGAGGGUAUCAAACUCAUACCUCCCAUCACUGAGGUAGGUGCCCUGCAGGGUAGGAGUAAUGGACAUGUCUCAAAUUGAAGGUGCGUUUUUGUAGUAAUUGUUUAAUGUAACAUACAAAAAUAAUUAGCCUGGAUUACAAUUAGACUAGUUUAGACAAGUAGAUUUGUUUAGAUUACAGGUCCUCUAGAUGUGUGCCUUUUUUCUAACAAUGGCCGUGACCUUCUGCAUUUGUGAAUUUGCUCAAGAAAAUGAAGGCAUCCUUGAAUCCUGCAGUCCUCUCCAACCUCAGAAACUCCUGGGAUUAUCCUGCAUAACUUCAAGUGCACUGUACUGUUUGGUGCAUUCUUAGUGCUCUUUACAAGGAGGAAGGAGUGUUGUAUAUAAAAGUCAUGGUUAUUUCAUUACCUUUGUUUGGGCUUAUGUUCCUACUGUCUUAACAGCAGAAUCAUUUUACUGGUCUGCUGGUAUAGGCAGAUAUAUACUCUGAAUGAGAGUACAUGCUGGCCACUACAUUGAGAGAUCAGGCUUGUCUUUAUGUAGAGGUAAUCUGUGAUAUGUAGAUCAUUUCUAAGUAGGCUAUAGAGCACUCGCUGAUUGUAUGGCUUGGGUUUUUUUGGUUGAUCAGCUGUGAUACAAAGAUUUGUUAUAUUCCCACAUUCUGUCUGCAAUGGGUCUGAGAAAAAGAAAUAUCCAGUCCCCUCCACAGUGUGAAACUACUGAAGUCUUCAAAGAUGUUGUGAGAGGUGGCUGUGCAGAGAGCACUCCUUUCCUGUGCACAGUCAGAUCUCCUCUGUGAUGAGGAAUUUUCCAUUAUCUCAACAGCCUCUUAUCUGGACCAACUAAAACUGAGUCAAUACAAAAUGGAGGUAUUUUUGAAGUGAGCUAUACAUACUUCAUUCAGUGUACAAGCAUUUAAGUGGGUGCAGAGUUUGCAUACCAUGUAACAAAUCUGUGAACAGGCUGUGAUAGUAAUACUUGUGGAAAUGCUGGCUUUUUUAAGGAAUCAGCAUUUUGGUAUUGCAUAUAUCACAGACAAUUUGCAUUCAUUUUGUAUACAAAUUUGCUACUGCACAGAUAGAAAUUUAAAGCUAUAUUGAUUUAAAGUGUCAAAAGAAAGCAAAUAUGAAUUCCUGC